rnacentral:rRNA from 1 species
UCGGGAAUUUUGGGCAAUGGGCGAAAGCCUGACCCAGCAACGCCGCGUGAGGGAUGAAGUAUUUCGGUAUGUAAACCUCGAAAGAAUGGGAAGAAUAAAUGACGGUACCAUUUAUAAGCUCCGGCUAACUACGUGCCAGCAGCCGCGGUCAUACGUAGGGAGCAAGCGUUGUUCGGAUUUACUGGGCGCAAAGGGCGCGUAGGCGGCGCGGUAAGUCACUUGUGAAAUCUCUGAGCUUAACUCAGAACGGCCAAGUGAUACUGCUGUGCUUGAGUGCGGCAGAGGCCACCGGAAUUCUUGGUGUAGAGGUGAAAUGCGUAGAUAUCAAGAGGAACACCUGAGGCGAAGGCGGGUUGCUGGGCCGACACUGACGCUGAUGCGCUAAAGCCAGGGGAG